rnacentral:rRNA from 1 species
UACGGAGGGGACUAGCGUUGUUCGGAAUUACUGGGCGUAAAGCGCACGUAGGCGGAUUUGUAAGUCAGGGGUGAAAUCCCGGGGCUCAACCUCGGAACUGCCUUUGAUACUGCAAAUCUCGAGUCCGGAAGAGGUGAGUGGAAUUCCUAGUGUAGAGGUGAAAUUCGUAGAUAUUAGGAAGAACACCAGUGGCGAAGGCGGCUCACUGGUCCGGUACUGACGCUGAGGCACGAAAGCCAGGGGAGCAAACGGG